rnacentral:rRNA from 1 species
GACGAACGCUGGCGGCGUGCUUAACACAUGCAAGUCGAACGGUAAGGCCCUUCGGGGUACACGAGUGGCGAACGGGUGAGUAACACGUGGGUGAUCUGCCCUGCACUUCGGGAUAAGCCUGGGAAACUGGGUCUAAUACCGGAUAGGACCCUGGGAUGCAUGUCCUGGGGUGGAAAGCUUUUGGGGUGUGGGAUGGGCCCGCGGCCUAUCAGGUUGUGGGUGGGGUGAUGGGCUACCACGGCGACGACGGGUAGCCGGCCUGUGAGGGUGACCGGCCACACUGUGACUGAGGUGCGGCCCAGACUCCUACGGGAGGCAGCAGGGGGGAAUAUUGCACAAUGGGCGCAAGCCUGAUGCAGCGACGCCGCGUGAGGGAUGACGGCCUCCGGGUUGUAAACCUCUUUUAGCAGGGAAGAAGCGAAAGUGACGGUACCUGCAGAAAAAGCACCGGCUAACUACGUGCCAGCCGCCGCCGUAA